UGAUCAAUGCUAAUAUAGGAAUUAGAGGGGGGAAACUACGUCAGAGGUCUGGUACCGACACAGAGACGCGUUCUUGUCAUUUCUUUCUGGACAGUGCGCCGUCCAUCGAAGCUCCUCAGUUCAUAGAUAUAUAAAAAAUUGCCAAGUACCAGCUGUUAUCCUUCUGUAAAAAAUGCUUCCUUGUUUAUCAAAAUCAAUAAUGAGAGACGUCUACUCCAUUUAUCCACAAAAGAAUAAUUCUGUACCACAAUACAACCAAACGAUCACUGCUAUGCCCCAAAAGACCUGAGCGAAGUUAUUUCGUUAGAACUGAUAUGUACGAUAUUGUGAGCUUGCUUUACAUGUCGAAUGAGUUGGUUGAAAAGAGAUCAUGAAAAGUGAAGGAGAAAAUACUCUCGUUUAUUCUGUCUCAUCUUGAUGAUCAAUCAACAACAGUUUUACUUGGAACCUACAUUAAGAAAUUUUUUAAGUGUACUAUAUUUACGAAUAACGCCCUUCCUCUUUUUCCUUACAAUGAAAACUGCCAAAACCAUUGUUUUACCCAGAAUUUUUCACGUCGUAAUGAAGCAAGGGACCAAACUGAUCAAGAAGUAAAGAUUUUAAUGCAAGUAACAAAGAUGAAGCAAUUAGAUGCAUUAAGGAGAUUGAAAAAUUGAAGAAAAACGAAGACGAAAAUACUGAGUUAUAUUUCCAUGGUACUAAUCAUUCUUCUGCUAAGAAGAUUCUUGAGAAUGGUAUUAAAUUAGGUGAAGGUCGUGAAAAGUGUGACUUGUCGCAUAAGUAUGGCUUCUACAUGGCAAAUGAUUGUGAACACUCGUUAAAACACUAUACUGCGACAAAACCAGCUCUUCUCAUUUUUUGUUUACGCCCAAAUAAUUUGGAAGGUUUCAAAGAAUUGUAUUUAUGUGGUAAUCGCAAUAAACAAGACUUUCUUACAGUUACUCAAUACUUUACGGCUGGAAGGAAUGACCGUAACCGUCCCAUGAGCAGGGAACUAUUGUCGGAAGUAGAAUAUUGCGAUUUUAUCAAAAGUCCAAUUACAAUAGAUGGUCGUUCAGCAGGUGACCAAAAUGAAGAUAUUUUGCAGGUUUGUGUAAAGAAACCCAGAUUGGCUGAGGCUAUGAGCGGUUCCCCAUUUUUGGUGGGUGCAGUCUUUAUAAAACCUGAUUCGUAGCAAAUUGGCUGUAGGAGACGCAAGAAAACAAGAAAGGGAAGUUAGUACAGUAAUAAACAGUUUGAAAUUGCACGGAGUUGUGUUCUCCAUGAAAACAAUCGUAUCACAAUUUAUAACGUAACUCGUAGGACAUUUUGAUUUCGUAUAUAGUCAUUAUUUACCAUUGUAAAGGCUGAAUUGUAAAAAUCUUGAUGUAAACUAAUUUUAAACAAUCAUUGGAUGACGUUGAGCAUGAUGUCAAGAAAUAAAGUUCAACGUGUACAAA